rnacentral:rRNA from 1 species
UGGGGAAUUUUGGACAAUGGGGGGAAACCCUGAUCCAGCCAUCCCGCGUGUGCGAUGAAGGCCUUCGGGUUGUAAAGCACUUUUGGCAGGAAAGAAACGUCGCGGGUUAAUACCCCGCGAAACUGACGGUACCUGCAGGAUAAGCACCGGCUAACUACGUGCCAGCAGCCGCGGUAAUACGUAGGGUGCAAGCGUUAAUCGGAAUUACUGGGCGUAAAGCGUGCGCAGGCGGUUCGGAAAGAAAGAUGUGAAAUCCCAGAGCUUAACUUUGGAACUGCAUUUUUAACUACCGGGCUUGAGUGUGUCAGAGGGAGGUGGAAUUCCGCGUGUAGCAGUGAAAUGCGUAGAUAUGCGGAGGAACACCGAUGGCGAAGGCAGCCUCCUGGGAUAACACUGACGCUCAUGCACGAAAGCGUGGGGAGCAAACAGGAUUAAAUACCCCUGGUAGUCCACGCCCUAAACGAUGUCAACUAGCUGUUGGGGCCUUCGGGCCUUGGUAGCGCAGCUAACGCGUGAAGUUGACCG